rnacentral:rRNA from 1 species
AUUGAACGCUGGCGGCAGGCCUAACACAUGCAAGUCGAGCGGAGCGGCGGACGGGUGAGUAAUGCCUAGGAAUCUGCCUGGCAGUGGGGGAUAACGUCCGGAAACGGGUGCUAAUACCGCAUACUAUCAGAUGAGCCUAGGUCGGAUUAGCUAGUUGGUGGGGUAAAGGCCUACCAAGGCGACGAACCGUAACUGGUCUGAGAGGAAGAUCAGUCACACGUGAACGGAGACAGGGUCCAGACUCCUACGGGAGGGAGCAGUGGGGAAUAUUGGGCAAUGGGCGAAAGCCUUAUCCAGCCAUGCCGCGUGUGUGAAGAAGGUCUUCGGAGUGUAAAGCAUUUUAAGUUGGGAGGCGUUACCAACAGAAUAAGCACCGGCUAACUUCGUGCCAGCAGCCGCGGUAAUUC